AACGAACGCUGGCGGCAUGCCUAACACAUGCAAGUCGAACGAGACCUUCGGGUCUAGUGGCGCACGGGUGCGUAACGCGUGGGAACCUGCCCUUAGGUUCGGAAUAACUCCCCGAAAGGGGUGCUAAUACCGGUUAAUGUCUUCGGACCAAAGAUUUAUCGCCUUUGGAUGGGCCCGCGUUGGAUUAGCUAGUUGGUAGGGUAAAAGCCUACCAAGGCGACGAUCCAUAGCUGGUCUGAGAGGAUGAUCAGCCACACUGGGACUGCGACACGGCCCAGACUCCUACGGGAGGCAGCAGUGGGGAAUAUUGGACAAUGGGCGCAAGCCUGAUCCAGCAAUGCCGCGUGAGUGAUGAAGGCCUUAGGGUUGUAAAGCUCUUUUACCCGGGAUGAUAAUGACAGUACCGGGAGAAUAAGCUCCGGCUAACUCCGUG
rnacentral:rRNA from 1 species